rnacentral:tRNA from 1 species
UGUAGCUCAGUGGUAGAGUGCUUACUUAGCAUGAUGAGGCCCUGGGUUCAAUUCCCAGCA